rnacentral:rRNA from 1 species
CAUGUUCUUUUGUUUAUAAUUUAAGAUUUGAUCUGCUCAGUGUAUUAAUAAAUAGCCGCAGUAUUUUGACUGUGCGAAGGUAGCAUAAUAAAUAGUUUUUUAAAUGGAAACUUGAAUGAAAGAUUGGACGAGAUUAUUACUGUCUCUAUUUAAAUUUUAUUGAACUUUAUUUUUAAGUUAAAAAGCUUAAAUUAAAAUAAAAGACGAGAAGACCCUAUAGAGUUUAAUAUAAUCAAUUGAAUGUAUUUUGGUAGAAAUUUUUAAUUAGUUGUAUUUGGUUGGGGUGACUUAAAGAUUAAAUUAAUUCUUUAAAAUUUUAGUUAAUAAUUUUUAAAUUUUUUAUGUUAAAUUUAAAAUAUAAUAUAAAUUACCUUAGGGAUAACAGCGUAAUUUUACUUUAAAGUUCUUAUUAUAAGUAAGGUUUGCGACCUCGAUGUUGGAUUAAAAUUAAUUUUUGGUGCAGUAGCUUAAAAAUUAGGUCUGUUCGACCUUUAAAAUUUUACAUGAUCUGAGUUUAGACCGGUGUGAGCCAGGUCGGAUUCUAUCUUUAGUUAUUAAAUAUAUUUUAGUACGAAAGGACCCAGUAUAUAUUUUAUAAAUUG